rnacentral:rRNA from 1 species
AUGCUUAACACAUGCAAGUCGAACGGAAACGAUACUAGCUUGCUAGUAGGCGUCGAGUGGCGGACGGGUGAGUAACGCGUAGGAAUCUGCCUGAUAGUGGGGGAUAGCCCGGAGAAAUUCGGAUUAAUACCGCAUAAUCUAUUCGUAGUAAAGUGGGGGACUUUCGAGCCUCACGCUAUCAGAUGAGCCUGCGUAAGAUUAGCUUGUUGGUAGGGUAAAAGCCUACCAAGGCAACGAUCUUUAGCUGGUCUGAGAGGAUGAUCAGCCACAUCGGGACUGAGACACGGCCCGAACUCCUACGGGAGGCAGCAGUGGGGAAUAUUGGACAAUGGGGGCAACCCUGAUCCAGCAAUACCGCGUGUGUGAAGAAGGCCUGAGGGUUGUAAAGCACUUUCAAUUGUGAAGAAAAGUUAACGGUUAAUAACCGUUAGCCUUGACGUUAACUUUAGAAGAAGCACCGGCUAACUCCGUGCCAGCAGCCGCGGUAAUACGGAGGGUGCAAGCGUUAAUCGGAAUUACUGGGCGUAAAGCGUGCGUAGGUGGUUUAUUAAGUCAGAUGUGAAAGCCCCGGGCUUAACCUGGGAACUGCAUUUGAAACUGGUAAACUAGAGUAUGGUAGAGGAAAGUGGAAUUUCUGGUGUAGCGGUGAAAUGCGUAGAUAUCAGAAGGAACAUCAAUGGCGAAGGCAGCUUUCUGGACCAAUACUGACACUGAGGUACGAAAGCGUGGGUAGCAAACAGGAUUAGAUACCCUGGUAGUCCACGCCGUAAACGAUGAUAACUAGCCGUUGGGGGGAUUUACCCUUUAGUGGCGAAGCUAACGCGUUAAGUUAUCCGCCUGGGGAGUACGGCC